GAUGAACGCUAGCGGCAGGCUUAAUACAUGCAAGUCGUGGGGCAGCAUGAAUGUAGCAAUACAUUUGAUGGCGACCGGCAAACGGGUGCGGAACACGUACACAACCUUCCUAUAAGUGGGGAAUAGCCCAGAGAAAUUUGGAUUAAUACCCCGUAACAUAAUGAUGUGGCAUCACAUUAUUAUUAUAGCUUCGGCGCUUAUUGAUGGGUGUGCGGCUGAUUAGAUAGUUGGCGGGGUAACGGCCCACCAAGUCUACGAUCAGUAGCUGAUGUGAGAGCAUGAUCAGCCACACGGGCACUGAGACACGGGCCCGACUCCUACGAGAGGCAGCAGUAAGGAAUAUUGGUCAAUGGACGCAAGUCUGAACCAGCCAUGCCGCGUGAAGGAUUAAGGUCCUCUGGAUUGUAAACUUCUUUUACCUGGGACGAAAAAAGGCGAUUCUUCGUCACUUGACGGUACCAGAUGAAUAAGCACCGGCUAACUCCGUGCCAGCCGCCGCGGUAAUAC
rnacentral:rRNA from 1 species